AUACGGAGGGGGCUAGCGUUGUUCGGAUUUACUGGGCGUAAAGCGCGUGUAGGCGGCUUGGUAAGUCGGUUGUGAAAGCCCGGGGCUCAACCCCGGAACGGCAUCCGAAACUGCCCGGCUAGAGUCCCGGAGAGGAAGGCAGAAUUCCCAGUGUAGGGGUGAAAUCCGUAGAUAUUGGGAGGAAUACCAGUGGCGAAGGCGGCCUUCUGGACGGUGACUGACGCUCAGACGCGAAAGCGUGGGUAGCAAACAGGAUUAGAAACCCCAGUAGUCC
rnacentral:rRNA from 1 species